ACACAACAACCCAGAACAACAGCAAAAACAACAACAGACAUUAAAACACACACUAUGGCAUCACUAGCCAUCGUUUCGGCAUAACGACACAUCUUUCGUUUCAAACUUACAUUUCCGAACCAAACUUGUUAUUCUGAUAUUCAUCACCCACCAAAUUCAUUACAACAUACAUCGGAAGCAUCCAUACCAUUUUCACCCAAUAUUCAUAAGGUAUGCGAACAUUCAAACUUUCCAUUAAGCCACUACUUUUCCAAUUUUUCCUAACCUUCAACAUACAAGUUCAUUAUACAUUUCCAUCUUCCAAAUUCAUCCACAAUAAUCAUAAUUUUCCUCUUGAUACUUUCAUCUCCAUUUUUACAUAAACCAUAACAAAGUUGUAUGUUUUCCUACAACAACUUAAUAACCAUUAAGUUCCUUCACUCUCCUCACAUAAUCCAUGAUUAAAACAACCAAAAUAUUAAUUCAAAUCAGUCCAUCAAUUUCAAUUAAAACAGCCCCUCACCCAUAAAUUUCAACAAAACAACAAAUGAGUUUAUAAUGUUGUUUUCUCCGUUCUAAUUCGUUAAAACUCUAAAUAAACACUUUAAUAACAUAAAAGGAAUUUUAUAAAUACCUUAUCAGAAGAUCCACCACGAAAAUUUCAUCCCCCAAGACCAAUAUUUAUCUCAAAUUGAAGGCAACGCAACGUACAACGUUUUUCUCUUCAUGAGCUUCGGGAUUCGGAGCUCGGAUUUUGAUCAAAAUGACCUUCUUAGCCUUGAAGUUUUCUCUCUCUCUCUCUCUAAUGGAAUUUUCUGGAUCUUUUCUGAUCUGAAAUGUGGAGGAGGAGGCUGAAAACUCCCUUAAAUAAUAAGGAAAUGGGCCUGACCCGGAUUGGAAUCGGGUUGGGCCCAUUUCACUGCCCAGCUUGACCUUUCCGCCUUACAAUGUCCAUAUCUCCUUGUACCGACGUCGCCAGGGAGCCCACGACCUACCGUUGGAAAGCUAUUCAAUUAUCUACAACCUUUAUCUCUGGGCAUUUUCCCAAAUUCUAAACUUAUAAUGCCGUUUUUGCCCCUCCAAGUCUGGUCAUCCGAAAACGUUUUCUUAAAAAUAUUCGUUUGGAGGGCUUCCACUUUGAUUUGGCCCCAGGGCCCUUCACGGGUUGUGUUUAACUUUACAUAUACGAUUCAUAUAACUUUUCACAUGUCCCAAAAAAAAUAUUGAUGUGUGGGCCCCACCUCAGCUUACAAAUAAUUCGACGUUCGAAAAUGCAGGAUAUAACACAAAUAAUAACAUAAAUCAAAGCACAAGAAAUUAUAAUGCGCUAAUGCGCCUACUAAUAAGGUAAGAUAACGAGACUUAUAUACUAGCCUUCUACCCUAAUGUGGGUCCUCCACACCUUCCUAUCUAAGGUCAUGUCCUCGGUAAGCUGUAACUGCGUCAUGUCCUGUCUAAUCACCUCUCCCCAAUAUUUCUUUGGCCUACCCCUACCUCUUCUGAAACCAUCCAUGGCUAACCUCUCACACCUCCGCACUGGGGCAUCUAUGUCUCUCCUCUUCACAUGCCCAAACCAUCUCAGUCGCAUUUCCCGCAUCUUGUCUUCCACCGAGGCCACUCCCACCUUAUCCCGAAUAGCCUCAUUUCUAAUCCUGUCGCUCCUAGUGUGCCCACACAUCCAUCUCACCAUUCUCAUCUCGGCAACUUUCAUCUUUUGAACGUGAGAGAUCUUAACUGGCCAACACUCCACCCCAUACAACAUAGCCGGUCUAACCACCACUCUGUUGAGCCCAAGGAGGAUAUCAUCAUGAAAUGGUUGUAAUACGAGGUCCCUAGAGCCUAAGUGUGGAAAACAAGCGAAAAAAAAGGAAAAAAGUUGAUCACUGGAAACAACUGGAGAUUCUGGAAAUUUUGGUGGAAAAUUACCCUGUGCGAAGUCAUGCGUUCGCGCCCACGUGAGUCAGUGACUCUGCGCGUUCGCGCCAGUGUAUCACGCGUUCGCGCUGAAGAAGAGAAUUCCUGCUUACGUCAUCCACGCGUUCGCGCUGCCACGUGGCGCGUUCGCACUGAAGGUUUUCCGGCCCAGUCCGAGCAGAACUUGGAUUUUGACGAUUUUUUCUAUUCCAGUUCAUUUAAAAGCCAACAGGGAGCAUUGUAAAAUUAUCUUGGGCAUAAAACACAAAUUUAGAGGCUAGGGUUCCUACGUAUAUUUUCUUUCUUUUAUUUGAACCUUAUUUAUGGGAAUUUCUUGGUGACAAUUGAGAUUGAAACUCUUGUUGUGCUUAUUUAUUGAUCGACUUUAUUUUUAAUCAA